GUUGGCGGCGGUUGGAACGAAACGAUGAGUGCCUCCUCGUGGCCCCAGAAUGUAAUGCCGCCGUCGGUAGGGGUCUGCCGGGCAUAAAGGGGCCUUCGGAACCCCACCAGAGUCACAGCCAGGAAGGGCAGCGGGGCGCACCAGGCCGAAGGCUCACGCCACAGGGAGGGCAGCUAGGACAUGGGGGGAAGCGCGUUAAACCAGGGAGUCCUGGAAGGGGACGACGCCCCCGGCCAGUCCCUGUACGAGCGGUUAAGUCAGAGGAUGCUGGACAUCUCGGGGGACCGGGGCGUGCUGAAGGACGUCAUCCGAGAAGGAGCUGGAGACCUAGUGGCGCCUGAUGCUUCGGUGCUAGUGAAAUACUAUGGAUACCUGGAACACUUGGACAGACCCUUCGAUUCUAAUUACUUUAGGAAAACUCCUCGGCUAAUGAAACUUGGAGAGGAUAUUACAUUGUGGGGCAUGGAGCUGGGCCUUCUGAGCAUGCAGAGAGGAGAGCUGGCCAGAUGCUUCGUCUUGGGUAAACUCCUCGACUCCCAAGGCCCCAGCCUCCAUCUUUACCUCAGAGCCUCCUGAACCUCCUCCUCCAGCCUCACCUUCCUCCAGCCUCACCACUCCUCCCUGGACCUGCAGCUCCGCACCCCCGGGGGCCUCAGAACUACCCCUUCCAGGGCCUCAGAACUACCCCUACGGUUUCUCCUGCGUAACCUUCUGCCUACCUUCCUGAGAGUGGUUGGUGACAGCAGCCGGGGCUAGAAACCUCGAGGCGACUGUGCUUGAGUCCUCUCUUGCUCUUUACAUCCCAAAUCCCAUCAAUUGUCACGCCUUGUGCCUUCCGCCUCUCAAAUAUUCAGAAAGCAGAUGUAUGCUGGGCACGGUGGUGACUCAAGCCUAUAAUCCCAGCACUUCGGAAGGCGGAGGCAGGAGGAUCGCUUGAGGCCAGGAAUUUUAGACCAGCCGGGGCAACAUAGUGAAACCCCAUCUCUACAAAAUAAAAAUAAAAAUUAGCUGGG